GCCAGCGUAGCUCAGAUGGUGAGAGCGCUGCUCUGAAAAAGCAGAGGCCGGAAGCUCGACAACUUCCCGCUGGCACCA
rnacentral:tRNA from 2 species